CCGAAGACUUCAAUAAUGUCGAAUUUCUUUCUUCUGGAAAACAUACGACCAUUUCCUUCUUGUCCAAACCCUCAUCUGCCAUUGUUGAAAAGAGUUUAUCUCUUUCUCCUUCUUUUUCACUUGCAUCACAAAUAGAAACCAUAGAUAGUCGAUUUUCAUUCUCAUCACCCCUCUUCAUGUUGGAGAGGAGAGAAGUGACUCCCAACUUGGAUAAAAACGAAUGAUGAGAAGGACCAGAGAGGGCCUUUGUAAACAGUUCGGUAAGCUGAGCUUUUGACGGAGCAAAAGAAGGGGUUAUCAAACCUGAAAGAAAUUAUUGUCAUACGAAGUGGCAAUCGAGUUCAACAUGUUUAGUCCGCUCGUAGAAGAUCGGAUUUCGGGCGAUGUGUAUAGAGGCCUUGCUAUCAGAGUGAACAGGAAUCGGUAAAGAUAGAGAGAUGGAAAGAUCUUAGAGAAGACGAGUUAACUAGGAUGCCCAGUCGGCAUCAAAAAAGGCAAUGAGGGAAACUGAUAGAUCCGAGUUAAAAAACAAACCUUGCCAGGAUUAACUCGAAGAUACCGUAACACACGCAAACCAACCAUGAAAUGACUGAUAUGAAGUUGUUGCAUAUAUUGACUCAAAAUCAGUAUUGCAAAAGAGAAAUCCGGUCGCGCAUGGGUAAGAUAAUUAAGCUUCCCAAUAAGUCGCCUGUAAACUGUUAGAUCAGCAAGAAGAGGGCCUGAUGAUGCACAAAUCUUGGAUGAAGGAUCAAGGGGAGAUGAAACCAGAGAUGGUAUAACUUAGCACCAUUGGAUUGUCCAAAUCUUUACUCCAGAUCUGUCCACAAACUUUUUUCUACCUUGGAGUAGAUCACAGAGUGGGCUAUGUCCUUGGAUAAGGCGUUAAG